AGCAGCCGCGGUAAUUCCAGCUCCAAUAGCGUAUAUUAAAGUUGUUGCAGUUAAAAAGCUCGUAGUUGAAUUUCGGGAUCAGACUGUCGGUCGUGCCUCGGUACGCACUGGCAUUAUUGGUUCCUACCUUCUGAAGAACCGCGAUGUCAUUAAUUUGGUGUCGUGGGGAAUCAGGACUGUUACUUUGAAAAAAUUAGAGUGUUUAAAGCAGGCUUACGCUUGAAUACAUUAGCAUGGAAUAAUGAAAUAGGACGUUUGAUUCUAUUUUGUUGGUUUCUAGGAUCGACGUAAUGAUUAAUAGGGAUAGUUGGGGGCAUUAGUAUUCAAUUGUCAGAGGUGAAAUUCUUGGAUUUAUUGAAGACUAACUACUGCGAAAGCAUUUGCCAAGGAUGUUUUCAUUAAUCAAGAACGAAAGUUAGGGGAUCGAAGACGAUCAGAUACCGUCGUAGUCUUAACCAUAAACUAUGCCGACUAGGGAUCGGAUGAUGUUAAUUUUUUAAUGACUCA
rnacentral:rRNA from 1 species